rnacentral:rRNA from 2 species
AUGCAUGCCUAAGUCCAGCCGGGUGUCUUCGGACACCUAGCGAAACCGCGGACGGCUCAUUAAAUCAGUUGUGGUCUAAAUGGGCGAGACAGUUUCCUCUGUAGGAUAACUGUGGUAAUUCCAGAGCUAAUACAUGCGACUUUAAAUCACUAGCCUAGCGAUAGGCGACUGAUGCUUUUAUUAGACCGAGGUGAACGGCCGUGCGUGUGUCCGCCACUUGUGGUUUGGCGCGUGCGGUUCGCGAUGCUUAAGGUGACUCUGGAUAAAACCAAUGUUAAGCGCACGCAUCGCUAUCGUAGCGGGCGGCGCUGCCACUUUCGAGUGACUGCCUUAUCAGCUAUAACGUUUGUUAUGCGCAAACGCUGGCUCUGACGGGUAACGGGGAAUCAGGGCUCGAUUCCGGAGAGGCAGCCUGAGAGACGGCUACCACG